UCUUCUUUAUUGCUGCUCUUCGCCCUCGCCUUGCUACUCUCUCUCUCGGUCUUGCUCGACAAUGACUGCAGGCAAAACCUUGGCGUUCUCAGUGCUCUCUAGCAAUAGGAAAUGUAUUGUUGAUACCAGAAGCAGCAUGGACAAGGGUGAUGAUUCUGGAAGCCCUGGCCAGGACGCAUCCUUUUUCACACAAACAACUGAAGAUGUUGCCAAAGCUGUUGCUACUGUAGCUCCAUCUGCAGUUAGUCGUUCACCACGACCAUCUAUAGUUUUUUCUUCCAGGGAUGAAUAUAGCGGUCAACUUCCAGAGAUGAACGUAGGGUCUUUCACCUUCACCCUAAGUGAAGAGAGGAGAUUAUAAUCCAGAAAUACUUACCCGCCAAAAACACCAUUGGGCAAGGUUUCAGUUGCAGUUCUUGGGUCAUAGGUAUGUCAAAGAACCAUCAACACUAUUUGAGAACAUGGUGGUAGUUGGAUACUGCCGAAUAAGCUCAAAGGAUUAGAGGACGUGGCUAUGAACGAUAGUGUCGGAUAAGAGUUCCAUGUACAGCUCUUUUUGGCACUCAGCUCUUCUCUGUAUGUACCGACCUUGUUCUCUUUUUCUAUCAGCAAGAUUAGUGCUGCCAUGGGAGGCUCUGUUGGAUCGAGGUACUCAUAAUUAAGGUUAUGGAAGCAAACAUGCAGUCUUUUUUUUUUUUUUAAAUGUAUAAAAAGGACU